rnacentral:rRNA from 1 species
ACACUCAGGGGAUAGGCCCUUUUCGAAAACGGAAAAGAUUAAUACCCUGAUGGUAUGACUGGAGAUUGCAUGAUAGCAUCAUUAAAGAUUUAUCGGUGUACGAUGGGGAUGCGUUCCAUUAGGUAGUAGGCGGGGGUAACGGCCCACCUAGCCUACGAUGGAUAGGGGUUCUGAGAGGAAGGCCCCCCACAUUGGAACUGAGACACGGUCCAAACUCCUACGGGAGGCAGCAGUGAGGAAUAUUGGUCAAUGGACGAGAGUCUGAACCAGCCAAGUAGCGUGAAGGAUGAAGGUCUUACGGAUUGUAAACUUCUUUUAUAAGGGAAUAAACCCUCCCACGUGUGGGAGCUUGUAUGUACCUUAUGAAUAAGCAUCGGCUAACUCCGUG